AUAUUGCAAAUGAACAGAGAACAUCACUUUAAGGUGCGUCCACAUUUGUAUCAUUUGCGCGAUCAGAUCUCCGAUCGAUCUCCGUCGCGAUCAUCGCGCCGUAUCAAGUAUGCGUU